rnacentral:tRNA from 1 species
AAAGGGAGACCUAAUUCAGGUAAAAGACGAAAAAAAAGUAGUCGCUACCAAGAAUCAAUCCCAAAAGGUCGGAGCGAGGCGAAAUUGGCUUUCAAACUAGGUUCUGGGUUCAAACAAGACCUGAAUCAGGAACAAGGGCUAUUAGCUCAGGUGGUUAGAGCGCACCCCUGAUAGGGGUGAGGUCCCUGGUUCGAGUCCAGGAUGGCCCACCUGCACAGGUGGCAAAAACAAGAGAAGCGAGGAAUCAGCACCUUAUCUUACUGACAUAGUAAGAGAGAAUGCUGGCUCUGAGUAAAGAGUCCAGAGGAACCUUGAAAACUGCAUAGAGCUAGGUGAAAAAGCCAAAAAAGAAGACCGCAAG